rnacentral:rRNA from 1 species
GAUGAACGCUGGCGGCGUGCCUAAUACAUGCAAGUCGAGCGAACAGACGAGGAGCUUGCUCCUCUGACGUUAGCGGCGGACGGGUGAGUAACACGUGGAUAACCUACCUAUAAGACUGGGAUAACUUCGGGAAACCGGAGCUAAUACCGGAUAAUAUAUUGAACCGCAUGGUUCAAUAGUGAAAGACGGUUUUGCUGUCACUUAUAGAUGGAUCCGCGCCGGAUUAGCUAGUUGGUAAGGUAACGGCUUACCAAGGGAACGAUGCGUAGCCGACCUGAGAGGGGGAUCGGCCACACUGGAACUGGGACACGGCCCAGACUCCUACGGGGGGCAGCAGUAGGGAAUCUUCCGCAAUGGGCGAAAGCCUGACGGAGCAACGCCGCGUGAGUGAUGAAGGUCUUCGGAUCGUAAAACUCUGUUAUUAGGGAAGAACAAAUGUGUAAGUAACUAUGCACGUCUUGACGGUACCUAAUCAGAAAGCCACGGCUAACUACGUG